rnacentral:rRNA from 1 species
UACGUAGGGUGCAAGCGUUAAUCGGAAUUACUGGGCGUAAAGCGUGCGCAGGCGGCUAUGCAAGACAGAUGUGAAAUCCCCGGGCUCAACCUGGGAACUGCAUUUGUGACUGCAUGGCUAGAGUACGGUAGAGGGGGAUGGAAUUCCGCGUGUAGCAGGUGAAAUGCGUAGAUAUGCGGAGGAACACCGAUGGCGAAGGCAAUCCCCUGGACCUGUACUGACGCUCAUGCACGAAAGCGUGGGGAGCCAAACAGG